rnacentral:rRNA from 1 species
AUUAAACGCUGGCGGAAUGCUUUACACAUGCAAGUCGAACGGCAGCACGGACUUCGGUCUGGUGGCGAGUGGCGAACGGGUGAGUAAUGUAUCGGAACGUGCCCAGUCGUGGGGGAUAACGUAGUGAAAAUUACGCUAAUACCGCAUACGAUCUAUGGAUGAAAGCGGGGGAUCGCAAGACCUCGCGCGAUUGGAGCGGCCGAUAUCAGAUUAGGUAGUUGGGGGGGGAAAGGCCCACCAAGCCAACGAUCUGUAGCUGGUCUGAGAGGACGACCAGCCACACUGGAACUGAGACACGGUCCAGACUCCUACGGGAGGCAGCAGUGGGGAAUUUUGGACAAUGGGCGAAAGCCUGAUCCAGCCAUUCCGCGUGCAGGAUGAAGGCCCUCGGGUUGUAAACUGCUUUUGUACAGAACGAAAAGGUUUCUACUAAUACUAGGAGCUCAUGACGGUACUGUAAGAAUAAGCACCGGCUAACUACGUGCCAGCAGCCGCGGUAA